rnacentral:rRNA from 1 species
CAGCACCUCAAGUGGUCAGGAUGAUUAUUGGGCCUAAAGCGUCCGUAGCCGGCUCUGUAAGUUUUCGGUUAAAUCUGUAUGCUCAACAUACAGGCUGCCGGGAAUACUGCAGAGCUAGGGAGUGGGAGAGGUAGACGGUACUCGGUAGGAAGGGGUAAAAUCCUUUGAUCUAUUGAUGACCACCUGUGGCGAAGGCGGUCUACCAGAACACGUCCGACGGUGAGGGAUGAAAGCUGGGGGAGCAAACCGGAUUAGAUACCCGAGUAGUCC